rnacentral:misc_RNA from 1 species
ACCUUCCUGAUAUCUGCUUCCUGAUGAAGUCCUGCUUUGACUCGGCUCUCUGCCGUACUCAAAGUCCUGGACAACCGCUCGGUCACGACAACUGGUGGCAGAGGUGGGAUCACUACGCCGGAUCAUGACAUUUUGGGGGGGUGCUCGUGCAAGAGGUGCGGCAUCAUGCCGACGCCUAAAGAGUGCGUCUGCUGCAGAGAGUGUCCCCCCGCGGUCGCGACUCGCCCAGGAGGGUGCAUUACGGAACACGCCAACGUCGCACCGAUCUGCCUCCAGCCCGGCGUGCUCGAAGUCACGUUCUGGGCUCCGCAGGAGGCAGGUCGUCACCCGGCGCCGCGAGAACAGAAGCUUCGUUUUCCGGCCUACCAGCAAUUUGUGCGAUGGAUGUGGCGAAGGCUGGGACGCUGCAAUCGACGUGUGCUGCCUGCCUGCGCGGUUAAAAGAAUCCACGAUGAAUUCCCGUCGAAAACCUAUACCUAUACCGGGUUUCUGGAUGCAGAAUAAAAAUGUUGUA